CACGUAGGGUGCGAGCGUUGUCCGGAAUUAUUGGGCGUAAAGAGCUCGUAGGCGGUGUGUCGCGUCGGCCGUGAAAACCUGCAGCUUAACUGUGGGCGUGCGGUCGAUACGGGCAUCACUGGAGUUCGGCAGGGGAGACUGGAAUUCCUGGUGUAGCGGUGAAAUGCGCAGAUAUCUGGAGGAACACCGGUGGCGAAGGCGGCAUCCUGGACCGGCAUUGACGCUGAGGCGCGAAAGCCAGGGGAGCAAACGGG
rnacentral:rRNA from 1 species